rnacentral:rRNA from 1 species
AGUGAACGCUGGCGGUAGGCCUAACACAUGCAAGUCGAACGGCAGCACAGUAAGAGCUUGCUCUUACGGGUGGCGAGUGGCGGACGGGUGAGGAAUACAUCGGAAUCUACUUUUUCGUGGGGGAUAACGUAGGGAAACUUACGCUAAUACAGCAUACGACCUACGGGUGAAAGCAGGGGAUCUUCGGACCUUGCGCGAUUGAAUGAGCCGAUGUCGGAUUAGCUAGUUGGCGGGGUAAAGGCCCACCAAGGCGACGAUCCGUAGCUGGUCUGAGAGGAUGAUCAGCCACACUGGAACUGAGACACGGUCCAGACUCCUACGGGAGGCAGCAGUGGGGAAUAUUGGACAAUGGGCGCAAGCCUGAUCCAGCCAUGCCGCGUGCGUGAAGAAGGCCUUCGGGUUGUAAAGCCCUUUUGUUGGGAAAGAAAAGCAGCAGGUUAAUACCCCGCUGUUCUGACGGUACCCAAAGAAUAAGCACCGGCUAACUUCGUG